UGUCUAAUUUUUAAAGGCAUGGCAGACGUGGCAUCAUGACUCGAUAGUUCAAAGCAUAUGAUCUAAGCAACCUCAUGUAAUAUAAACAGUGUCACAUAUAUCGAUGCCUAAUCGAUAACUGCAUAAGAUCGGUAAUGCAGUGAUACCUACAUCAUCGGGCUUCCAUCGAUCCGAUAUUGCUUUCGCUUGGGCUCUCCCUAUAAGCCGUCUCCCAGAUUGGAUGCUCUUAGGAGCACAUAGUGAAUGGAUCUCGCUGGAUCGGCAUCCCACUGCAUGGACCCACAAUCCCUCCAGACAUGGGUGACAAGUCCUAUGAAAGCUUGCUGACACCCAUUCUUCUUGUUCUGACAGUCACUACUCUGACUUCGAUGGCAUCCACCACUCUAGCAGGCUCUCUCCUGUAAAUGGGGAGAGAAAGGAAAAAAUAGAGAUUCUUUUCUUCUUCUCAACUUGAGACUCUUGUUCUCAUCAUCUUCUCCUACUGUUCUCUCUCCUCAACUGCCAUUGAUUUAGCCAUUGGAGGGUCUCCCGUUGGAGUUCCCCACCUUAUUCUUCGACGGCUGGACUUUCUUUGCAGGUGCAUGGGUC
rnacentral:lncRNA from 1 species